CCUACGGGAGGCAGCAGUAGGGAAUCUUCCGCAAUGGGCGAAAGCCUGACGGAGCAACGCCGCGUGAGUGAUGAAGGUCUUCGGAUCGUAAAACUCUGUUGUUAGGGAAGAACAAAUUUGUUAGUAACUGAACAAGUCUUGACGGUACCUAACCAGAAAGCCACGGCUAACUACGUGCCAGCAGCCGCGGUAAU
rnacentral:rRNA from 4 species